rnacentral:rRNA from 1 species
GAUGAACGCUGGCGGCGUGCCUAAUACAUGCAAGUCGAGCGAACGGACGAGAAGCUUGCUUCUCUGAUGUUAGCGGCGGACGGGUGAGUAACACGUGGAUAACCUACCUAUAAGACUGGGAUAACUUCGGGAAACCGGAGCUAAUACCGGAUGAUAUUUUGAACCGCAUGGUUCAAAAGUGAAAGACGGUCUUGCUGUCACUUAUAGAUGGAUCCGCGCUGCAUUAGCUAGUUGGUAAGGUAACGGCUUACCAAGGCAACGAUGCUUAGCCGACCUGAGAGGGUGAUCGGCCACACUGGAACUGAGACACGGUCCAGACUCCUACGGGAGGCAGCAGUAGGGAAUCUUCCGCAAUGGGCGAAAGCCUGACGGAGCAACGCCGCGUGAGUGAUGAAGGUCUUCGGAUCGUAAAACUCUGUUAUUAGGGAAGAACAUAUGUGUAAGUAACUGUGCACAUCUUGACGGUACCUAAUCAGAAAGCCACGGCUAACUACGUG